rnacentral:lncRNA from 1 species
AACAAACUAGCAUCAGUCAGAACAAGAAAAACAGAUAACCAAAAACCAAAGAAUACACAAAUGAGACUAGAACAACCAACUAAGUCGGAGGCCAAGACCCUCGGUAGGCAAGGGAUCGAAGGAAUUCGAAUCGUUCGUCGUCAAUAUCAAACUCAACAAAUUCAAACAUAUCAACUACACUCAUGUUAGGAAAGGCAGUUCGCCAAUACUCCCACAAGUCACCUAGAACAUAAAUUCCAUUGAAAAAAAUGGAAAGUGGGGCCUUAGAAGAAUCCUGCGCAAGUACUCCAUUAGAGACCUGCGCAGGAUAAAAUGUAAAACAAACACAUCCAUUCAAGAUCAAAUUAAUAUAUUACACAACCAACAAGUUUUACAACUAACACAACUCUUAUCCUUUUUACAAAAGCGUUACUUAGACGCAAACACUAAAAAAAUCCUAAAACCAAAAAACACUCACACCUAGGUCGGAGGAGGAACGGAAGCACCAACUCCCUCAAGAACUUUGGCACCAGUCGCAGGAUCCUCCGUGUUAGCUUUAAUCGAAGGAGGCGCACCGCCAGGAGGGCGUGAAGGAUCGACCUUGUCACCCUUCGCCCGCUUCUUGGCAAGCUCCUACAAAAACAAAGUCAUUAAACACAAAGGCAAAAACCACGCACUAUCCAAAGUACAACAAAACAAUGACAUACCUCG